GCAGCCGGACGGUUUGUCGCUGGCCGUUGCGUACAAGCAGCGGAAAGAGGAAAGUCCGGGCAACACAGAGCGCCAUGCUUCCUAACGGGAAGGUGUCCGCGAGGGCAGAGCAGGGUAACAGAAAACGACCGCUCCGGCUUGUCCGAAGUAAGGGUGAAAAGGUGAGGCAAGAGCUUACCGGUCGGCAUAGCGAUAUGUCGAGCCGUACCUCUCAUGGGUUGCAAGGCCGCAUAUACCAACGCUGUAGGGUUGCUCGCCCGAUGUUGGGGGGUAGGCCGCUAAAACCUGUUGGCAACAACCGGUUUAGAUAAAUGACAAACAACUGCCGAUACAUCCGGCAGUACAGAACCCGGCUUACAGACCGGCUGCAUUU
rnacentral:RNase_P_RNA from 1 species